UGCACAAAUUCCUUCAAUGAUAUAUAUUAACUUGUAGUACGCCGUAGUACAUACAGCCCCUAGCCAUGAUAUUUAGAGUAAAUAUUAAAAUUUUUGAACGAAAAUUCAAAAAACGUUGCGUCACAUUUCCGAACGGCGCGUCUCCGUCACGCCGUUCGGCGCUACCAACUUCAUUGUCGUUUUCAUGCAGCCGACGGCCAUUACGCGUCAUCUAAUUUUAAAGUGUUUUCUGCGUAUAAAAGUGGAAAAAAUGCGAAUUAUAAUGUAUCGAAGAAAAUUAGACAGUGUGGAAAGUAAUCUGUUUGAUAAAUUAGGCGAGAAAAUAAGAAGAGUAGGAGAGGAAGAUAGAAGAAAGCCGAUCAACGCGGGCGUCCCUCGCCGCCAUGAUCGCGGGCAUUGCGGACUUUAUUGUUUGCGUUAUCUUACAAGAUCCAAACCGCGCCCUAGGUUUGCCUUAUAUUCGAGAUCACCAUCUCUGCCUGCGGCGUCGAGAAGUAGUAACAGGUCUCCAUUGGUUGUCAUUGAGAUUCUGACGACCUCCAUAAUGAAGCACAAAUGCAAUUGAAGAUCUAAGCGAUGAAGUCUUAACCUCUCGGUGAGGCACUUGAGCAGGUUGUUUUUUGGCAAAAACCUUUUUUCCAGCUUACAAAGAGAUAAAUAAAGAAAAGAAAGGACAAGUCAACUAAGAAACAUCCUGCUCCAGAAGUUACAAAGUAUAAAGCCAUAGAACAGAAAUAAUCUGAAGUCUCAAGCGCAUUAUUUGCCACUGGCUUGGCCCUCAUAACAUUUGCUGAGUGAAUUGGUCAUCUUUUGUGAGACGCAGGGAGUUACAACUUAAAAGGAUGUUUAUAACGUUGGGUCUUUACAAUAAAAUUGUAUGUGGGACCUUAAAAUAUUGUGAUGUUGACUAGUGUUUUUAGAGAAAACAUAGCUAAAAAGUUUUUAAAUGCCAUUGAAUAAUCUAGGGAAGAUCUGAAGAGACCUAAGAAGAUAUAACCUAGUAGAAGAUACAAAUUCAAGGGCCCAACCAAUAACACAGAGACAUACCCAGAGCCCAAGGUCAGAAGCUGUACCACAGGAAACCAUAACAACACCACCUCUUCUGCCAAGCCAUAUCAUCAGCGGAGGUGUCGCACUCAGCAAUAUUACUAUUACAAUAGCUGUUAAAUGAUCAGCAACCAGCAGUUUCAGCGACGUGUUAUCCUGUUUGCCGCGGGGCUCUCCGGGCAGCGCUGGCGCUGAAGGGGGCGGCGGUGACGUCAUGCUGCAGUCCCUCGCGCCCAACACCGUCAAGCAGUAUCACACGUACUUGACACGCUGGUAUUAAUAUACCAGCAUAUUACAUAUUAAAUAUUAUGUAAUAUGUUUUGUGGAAAAUAAUAUUAAUUGUUUUAAGACAUCUAUUCCACAAAUACUAGGUUUUAACAAAUUGUGUAACGAGGUUGCUAGCUAGCUGGGUAUGAAAGUGUCAAUUGUUGCACAUCUGCUUUGGUGCUUUUAUUGAGAGAAAAGAUCUCAUCAGAUGAUAACGUGAUACGCUUUAUGAAGGUGCGUUUUUUCGUAUAUACCCACCAUAACCUAAAUAUCGAGACGUAAUUGGUUUUAAACAAUUUGUCAACGUUGUCAACAAGUGUGUGAAAUAUCCGAGUAAAAAAUUAGUCACCCUAUUAGCAAUUGUCACAGCACACGGAGUGCAAAAUCUGUACUUGAUAAAGUUAUGUAAUACUAUUUACCAUUAUCCUGAAAAGAUCCUUAUAAAAAUUUCAGACUUUAUUAAAACUUCUAAAGUAGGUAGCUGUACGGAUCAACGAGUGCAUAACAACAUAGUUAUAUGUGGUGGGUGUGAACGACUAUUUAUUGCCUAUGAGAAACCACUUAGAUUAGUAGGUGGAUUAAGUAAAUAAGAUAGUGGUAUUGACACCUCCAUUUUCACCUCCCAUUUGACCCACCAUGCGUCGGUGUUAGCCGCAAAUCGAUUAGGAGUCAAUAUUGAUGUAACCAGAAAAACAUCAGGCCUGAUACUUCUAAAGUUAUCGAUAAAUUUUAUAAUAGGCCCUUAGUGUCUACAAUUGAUUUUGAUAGAGCAUCGAUGAUCGAUGUCUAGUUAGUUAGGAAACAAGUGUUUCCGUCAAUUAACAAUGAAUGUAAAAUUGUAAGCAGUAAUAUAUUACGAAGACUUGUUUAUAUGUACCUAUAGUUGUUGAGUUGUUAAUUCUUAAAAACAAAGAUAGUAUGUAUCAUUGCUGAUUGUGAUAGUUAUAAAACAUAAGUAUUAUAAGAUGGUACUAGAUGAAUAUUAAUAAGGAAGGAUUUCCUUUUGGUUUAAAUACAUUUAUUAAUGUUUGGUAAAUGAUGAUAUCACUAGAAAUUUGAAAUUUAAGUGAUUAAGGAUUAUCACGUGUUAAAAAUUCACAUAAUCUUGACAUAAAACAUAAUUUUGCUAGGCUAACAUUGUAUACCUAAUACAAAGCCAGAAAUAAACUUUGUAUAUCUCUAAA
rnacentral:lncRNA from 1 species